rnacentral:rRNA from 1 species
UUAGAGUUUGAUCCUGGCUCAGAUUGAACGCUGGCGGAAUGCUUUACACAUGCAAGUCGAGCGGCAGCACGGGGGCAACCCUGGUGGCGAGUGGCGAACGGGUGAGUAAUACAUCGGAACGUGCCCAGUCGUGGGGGAUAACGUAGCGAAAGCUACGCUAAUACCGCAUACGAACUCUGGUUGAAAGCGGGGGAUCGCAAGACCUCGCGCGAUUGGAGCGGCCGAUGGCAGAUUAGGUAGUUGGUGGGGUAAAGGCUCACCAAGCCGACGAUCUGUAGCUGGUCUGAGAGGACGACCAGCCACACUGGGACUGAGACACGGCCCAGACUCCUACGGGAGGCAGCAGUGGGGAAUUUUGGACAAUGGGCGCAAGCCUGAUCCAGCCAUUCCGCGUGCAGGAUGAAGGCCCUCGGGUUGUAAACUGCUUUUGGACGGAACGAAAAGGCUCUCUCUAAUACAGGGGGCUCAUGACGGUACCGUCAGAAUAAGCACCGGCUAACUACGUGCCAGCAGCCGCGGUACGCC